UGUCAGUCAUUAAAAAGAAUUUACUAUGCUGUGGUUAGGUCAAACAUUGAUUAUGGAUGUUUAGUAUACAGUUCUGCAAACAAAACAAUACUUAAAAAGAUUGAGGUUGUUCAAAAUCAAGCUUUGCGAAUAUGUUGUGGUGCAUUUAGAUCAUCCCCGAUAGUUUCACUACAAGUUGAAAUGGGAGAACUGCCUAUAGAAAUGCGUAGGUUCCAGCUGAGACAAAGGUAUUUGUACGGUGUAAAGGGACAUCAGGAAAAUCAUCCAGUUAGAGCACUUUUGAAAGAUUGUUGGGAGUAUGAAUAUAAAGAAAUAACUAUCUUCGGUUAGGUAGUAAGGAAAGAGAUAAACAAUUUGGAGUUGAAAGAUCAUGUAAUAGCUCCUUCUGUGCCUAUACCAGCAAUUCCCCCUUGGCUGUUUCAAAUGCCUUCAAUAGAUUUACAAAUUCACAAAAUAUUGGAAAAUUUGGAGAUGAGCUUACCAACUGAUCUGGUAGUUCAACAGUAUAUUACACAAGAGUACUAUGCUGUACUACAGGUAUUCACUGAUGGAUCUAAGGAUCCAGAGUCUGAAAGAACGGCAGCAGCAGUAUAUAUUCCUGCUUUUAAGACAAACAUUGCAAAAAGACUAUCAGAUCAAGUGUCAGUUUUUACUACCGAACUUUUAGCUAUUAUAAUAGCUCUACAGUGGAUUGAAGAAGUCCAACCAGAAAGAACUGUGAUAUGUAGUGACUCAAUGGCUGCUCUCACUAGUCUAAAAAGUGGAAAAUCAGAAUCAAGGCAAGAUUUAAUAUUUGAAAUAUUACAAAGUCUGUUUAGAAUCAGGCAGUUAAGGAUGGAGGUACAUUUCCUUUGGGUGCCUGCUCAUGUGGGUGUGGAUGGUAAUGAAAUAGUAGAUUUGCUAGCAAAGAAAGCUUUAGAUCAUACACAAAUAGAUAUUAAGGUAGCUUUGAGUAAAACAGAAUUCAAGAGCGUGAUUUCAUUUGAAGUAAAUAAGAAAUGGCAAAAGAUGUGGAAUAAUGAAACUAAAGGAAGACAUCUCUUUCAGAUACAGGAGACGGUUGGAAAUGGGAGGAAGUGGAAUGGAAAUAGAAAGAAGGAUGUCAUUAUCUCAAGACUAAGAAUUGGACAUACAGCAUUAAACUAUAGUCUAUUUAAAAUAGGUAAACAUGAAUCGGGAGAAUGUGACAAAUGUGGAGAAUUAGAAACAGUAAUUCAUAUUAUUAAUGAGUGUUCUGCAUAUGAAAGGGAGAGAUUUCAGUUAAUACAAGAAUUAUGAUGUAUGGGAGUUGAAAAUAUUUCAUUAAAAGUAUUGUUAGGAAAAGAGGGUAGGCAAUCAAGAAUUCAAGAAGUACUAUUUAAAUAUUUGAAAAACAUAGGAAUAAUAAACAGAAUUUAGGUUUUAAAUAUUUUUUUUUUUUUAUAUAUUUUUUUUUUUUUUUGUAUUUCUUUCUUCCAAAUCUAUGCCCACUCCACACUCCAGAUCAGUAGGUGGCGGUAAUGCACCUUUUUCGUUGGUUUGCCAAACCGCCAUAAAACACCAGAAGAAGAAGAAGAAGAAGAAGAAGAAGAAGAAGAAGAAAGCUGUAGUUGUUCAGUGAGUUCAAUUCACUAAAGAUAUGUGGCAGGUAUCUUGGGAUUUAUGUAUGAAGGGAAGACAUUUUUAUAACAUAUAAGGUAAAUUAAAGCAAAGCAAUAUAAAUCAUAAUAUAAGUAGGAGGGAAUAUAUAAUAUUUACAAGAUUAAGAAUGGGACAUACUAGGCUCAAUGCAAAUAAUUACAUAAUAGGUAAACACAAUUCAGGUCUUUGUGAUGGGUGUCAGGAAUGGGAGACAGUGGAACAUGUUUUAAUGGCAUGUGUGAAAUACCAGCAGGAAAGAAUAUUGUACAUUAGAGAAGUUCAAGAAAUGGGGAUUACAGAAUUUACAAUGGGCAAUAUUUUAAAUGAAUGGACAUAUACGGGUAGGCUAAUAAGGGCAUUAAUGAGGUUUUUAAAAAACAUUGCGGUAAUUCAUAGAAUUGAAUCUGAGUCAUGCAGACUUUCCUUGUCACACUCCAGUACAGUAGGUGGCGGUAUGCACCUUUCAGUUGGUUUGCAACCCGCCAGUAAACCCACAAAAGAAGAAGAAGAAGAGUUCAAUUCACGAGGUGCAUGCGGUUGCUUGCGUUAAACGUAUAAACUGUUAAAUUAGAUGGCGACUCUGCAUUAAACGUAUAUCAGUGGGUGGCGGUAAAUGCACCCGAAAGUUGUUUGCCAACCGCCAAUAAAAUCAAGAGAAGAAGAAGAAGAAUUAAACGUAUUUAUUUAAUUAAUCGGCGAUCGUAUUUCACCAGAGGACUAAGAUAAAACAACUCGAUUUAAAAUGUGAGCAGUUUUAGUGGAUCUGACGUCGAGGGAAAAAGUAUUUCGCUUUUUGUUUGGAGAUGAACGAGACAACACGAGGCACAGCGACAUAAAUAUGACCAACCAGAUCCCAAGUAGACAGGAACAAAUGAAGAUAUAGCGCAUAGAAAGACUUAUUCUUGGUGAUCAACUGCUAUUGACAUUUUUGAAUCGGGACAAAUGUGGAGUGAUUCGGAAGAAAAACGUUUGCAACACAUCCAUUCCAGAGUGCUGUGACACAUAAACUGACACGCUUGAUGAGGACACAGUCAAAGCUUUAAAAGCCCGUGUGAUAAAGCAGUCUUCAAUUACUACGGUGUCUGAAUUGCAAGGAGAAAUGACCCUCCACUUAAACAUGUGACAUCUAAACUGUUUUGUGUUUUAGUUCAGCUUUUUAUAGGUUUAUCUUAAGUUGGUUAAAGGCGGAGUGCACUAUUUUUGAAAGCCAAUGUUAACAUUUGAAAUGACCUAAACAAACAUGCCUCUACCCCAAUAGAAUCUGGACCUUCUUUUGAUAGUCACCACACACAUACGCAACCCCGGCAAGGAUGUCAGUUAGUAGACACGCCCCUUACUGCUGGUUGGCUACAAGUGUGUUUUGGUAGUCGGCCCAAUUUCCUUUUCCAAAGCGUUUUUCAAACAUUGUGCACUCCGUCUUUAAAUUGCACUUAAACAUUUUUUUUUCAUUAACUUUUUAUGCAGAGAAUUACAUUAUGAUUAUUAUAUAAUCAUUGCUUAUGAAUAUUUAGUGAUUGCAUAUUCAUAGUGUACUUUUCAUUAAUACAUUUAAUGUUAAUGUUGUACAAUUUGAUAGAAGUA